rnacentral:rRNA from 1 species
GACGAACGCUGGCGGCGUGCUUAACACAUGCAAGUCGAACGGAAAGGCUCCAGCUUGCUGGAGUACUCGAGUGGCGAACGGGUGAGUAAUACGUGGGUAAUCUGCCCUGCACUCUGGGAUAAGCCUGGGAAACUGGGUCUAAUACUGGAUAUGACCUUUCUCCUUAUGGGGUUUGGUGGAAAGUUUUUCGGUGUAGGAUGAGCCCGCGGCCUAUCAGCUUGUUGGUGGGGUGAUGGCCUACCAAGGCGACGACGGGUAGCCGGCCUGAGAGGGUGAUCGGCCACAUUGGGACUGAGAUACGGCCCAGACUCCUACGGGAGGCAGCAGUGGGGAAUAUUGCACAAUGGGCGGAAGCCUGAUGCAGCGACGCCGCGUGAGGGAUGACGGCCUUCGGGUUGUAAACCUCUUUCAGCAGGGACGAAGCGUAAGUGACGGUACCUGCAGAAGAAGCACCGGCUAACUAUGUG